UCUCCGUAGGUGAACCUGCGGAGGGAUCAUUACUGAGUGAGGGUCUCCGGUCCGACCUCCAACCCUUUGUGAACCAACACUGUUGCUUCGGGGGCGACCCUGCCUUUCGGGCAGUGCGCCCCCGGAGGAUAUCAAAACGCUGCAUCUUUGCGUCGGAGUAUUGAAAGCAAAUCAAUCAAAACUUUCAACAACGGAUCUCUUGGUUCUGGCAUCGAUGAAGAACGCAGC
rnacentral:misc_RNA from 1 species